ACGGGUGAGUAACACGUGGGCAACCUGCCCUUGAGACUGGGAUAACUUCGGGAAACCGGAGCUAAUACCGGAUAAUAUAAGGAACCUCCUGGUUCCUUGUUGAAAGAUGGUUUCGGCUAUCACUUAAGGAUGGGCCCGCGGCGCAUUAGCUAGUUGGUGAGGUAACGGCUCACCAAGGCGACGAUGCGUAGCCGACCUGAGAGGGUGAUCGGCCACACUGGGACUGAGACACGGCCCAGACUCCUACGGGAGGCAGCAGUAGGGAAUCUUCCACAAUGGACGAAAGUCUGAUGGAGCAACGCCGCGUGAGUGAUGAAGGCCUUCGGGUCGUAAAGCUCUGUUGUUAGGGAAGAACAAGUGCGAGAGUAACUGCUCGUACCUUGACGGUACCUAACCAGAAAGCCACGGCUAACUACGUGCCAGCAGCCGCGGUAAUACGUAGGUGGCAAGCGUUAUCCGGAAUUAUUGGGCGUAAAGCGCGCGCAGGUGGUUUCUUAAGUCUGAUGUGAAAGCCCACGGCUCAACCGUGGAGGGUCAUUGGAAACUGGGGAACUUGAGUGCAGAAGAGGAAAGUGGAAUUCC
rnacentral:rRNA from 1 species